CCUACGGGGGGCAGCAGUGAGGAAUAUUGGUCAAUGGGCGCGAGCCUGAACCAGCCAAGUCGCGUGAGGGAUGACGGUCCUACGGAUUGUAAACCUCUUUUGCCGGGGAGCAAGCGUGCGUUCGUGAACGCACGUCGAGAGUACCCGGAGAAAAAGCAUCGGCUAACUCCGUGCCAGCAGCCGCGGUAAUACGGAGGAUGCGAGCGUUAUCCGGAUUUAUUGGGUUUAAAGGGUGCGUAGGCGGGCAUUUAAGCCGGCGGUCAAAAGUCGGGG
rnacentral:rRNA from 1 species